CAGUCGCCACGGUAAUACAGAGGGUGCGAGCGUUAAUCGGAUUUACUGGGCGUAAAGCGUGCGUAGGCGGCUUUUUAAGUCGGAUGUGAAAUCCCUGAGCUUAACUUAGGAAUUGCAUUCGAUACUGGGAAGCUAGAGUAUGGGAGAGGAUGGUAGAAUUCCAGGUGUAGCGGUGAAAUGCGUAGAGAUCUGGAGGAAUACCGAUGGCGAAGGCAGCCAUCUGGCCUAAUACUGACGCUGAGGUACAAAAGCAUGGGGAGCAAACAGGAUUAGAUACCCCAGUAGUCCCUGUCUCUUAUAC
rnacentral:rRNA from 1 species